UCUUCUCGCUUCUGUAGUUGUCCUGGCGGCUUGCCGUUAAACCCCUAUAUUUCUAGUGGUUGACCUCGGAUUAGGUAGGAAUACCCGCUGAACUUAAGCAUAUCAAUAAGCGGAGGAAAAGAAACCAACAGGGAUUGCCCUAGUAACGGCGAGUGAAGCGGCAACAGCUCAAAUUUGAAAUCUGGCCCUAGCGGUCCGAGUUGUAAUUUGUAGAGGAUGCUUUUGGUUAGGUGCCUUCUGAGUUCCCUGGAACGGGACGCCAGAGAGGGUGAGAGCCCCGUACGGUUGGACACCGAGCCUCUAUAUAGCUCCUUCGACGAGUCGAGUAGUUUGGGAAUGCUGCUCUAAAUGGGAGGUAAAUUUCUUCUAAAGCUAAAUACCGGCCAGAGACCGAUAGCGCACAAGUAGAGUGAUCGAAAGAUGAAAAGUACUUUGAAAAGAGGGUUAAAUAGCACGUGAAAUUGUUGAAAGGGAAGCGUUUGCGACCAGACUUUUUCCAGGCGGAUCAUCCGGUGUUCUCACCGGUGCACUUCGCCUGGUUUAGGCCAGCAUCGGUUCUCUUAGGGGGAUAAAGGCCUGGGGAACGUAGCUCCUUCGGGAGUGUUAUAGCCCCUAGCGUAAUACCCUUCGGGGGACCGAGAACGCGCA
rnacentral:rRNA from 1 species